rnacentral:rRNA from 1 species
UACGAAGGGGGCUAGCGUUGUUCGGAAUCACUGGGCGUAAAGCGCACGCAGGCGGAUCGUUAAGUCAGGGGUGAAAUGCCGAGUCUCAACCUCGGAACUGCCUUUGAUACUGGCGAUCUUAGAGUCCGGGAGAGGUGAGUGGAACUCCGAGUGUAGAGGUGAAAUUCGUAGAUAUUCGGAAGAACACCAGUGGCGAAGGCGGCUCACUGGCCCGGUACUGACGCUCAGGUGCGAAAGCGUGGGGAGCAAACAGG